rnacentral:rRNA from 1 species
AUUGAACGCUGGCGGCAGGCUUAACACAUGCAAGUCGAGCGGAGAUGAGGUGCUUGCACCUUAUCUUAGCGGCGGACGGGUGAGUAAUGCUUAGGAAUCUGCCUAUUAGUGGGGGACAACAUUCCGAAAGGAAUGCUAAUACCGCAUACGCCCUACGGGGGAAAGCAGGGGAUCUUCAGACCUUGCGCUAAUAGAUGAGCCUAAGUCGGAUUAGCUAGUUGGUGGGGUAAAGGCCUACCAAGGCGACGAUCUGUAGCGGGUCUGAGAGGAUGACCCGCCACGCUGGGACGGAGACACGGCCCAGACUCCUACGGGAGGCAGCAGUGGGGAAUAUUGGACAAUGGGCGGAAGCCUGAUCCAGCCAUGCCGCGUGUGUGAAGAAGGCCUUUUGGUUGUAAAGCACUUUAAGCGAGGAGGAGGCUACCUGGAUUAAUACUCUAGGAUAGUGGACGUUACUCGCAGAAUAAGCACCGGCUAACUCUGUGCCAGCAGCCGCCGUAAUAC